rnacentral:sRNA from 1 species
UUCAGGGCUCUCAACUGCUGAUGAUGACAAUGAUGAAGAUCCAGAUGCUAAAAAUGAUCCUAACUAUCAAAUAAAUACUGAGACAUAUCUAACAGAGUUUCUUCAGUCCUUAUCUACCCAGCCCUGUUACUCCAUGUUCUGUCAACACCAUAACCAAUCAGAAAGACAAGUUCUUCAGACCAUAAACAUCAACACUUGAUAAACAGAUUGCUACAUGAACUGACCUUCUUUCACCCCACCCCCAUUGACUUGUAUCAUUUAUUUUUAAACAUGCAGACUUUUUAUUGACCUGUGACUUUUGAAAGAAAAGAGAAAUACAAACUAAUCCCAAGCUCUUUCUUGAUUUGACUGCUUUAUGUUGUUUUAAAACUGCAUACUAUUUUUAAUAAAUGCAUUUACCUAAUGUUA